rnacentral:rRNA from 1 species
AUUGAACGCUGGCGGCAUGCUUUACACAUGCAAGUCGAACGGUAACAGGUUAAGCUGACGAGUGGCGAACGGGUGAGUAAUGCAUCGGAACGUGCCCGAUCGUGGGGGAUAACGCAGCGAAAGCUGCGCUAAUACCGCAUACGAUCUGAGGAUGAAAGCGUGGGACCGUAAGGCCUCGCGCGAUCGGAGCGGCCGAUGUCAGAUUAGGUAGUUGGUGGGGUAAAGGCUCACCAAGCCGACGAUCUGUAGCUGGUCUGAGAGGACGACCAGCCACACUGGUACUGGGACACGGCCCAGACUCCUACGGGAGGAAGCAGUUGGGAAUUUUGGACAAUGGGCUAAAGCCUGAUCCAGCAAUGCCGCGUGCAGGAAGAAGGCCUUCGGGUUGUAAACUGCUUUUGUACGGAGCGAAAAGGCUCUCUCUAAUACAGGGGGCUCAUGACGGCACCGUAAGAAUAAGCACCGGCUAACUACGUGCCAGCCGCCGCAGUAA